rnacentral:sRNA from 1 species
AAAAAAAAAUUGGUUUGUUUUUUUGGCUGUUCUAUGAUGAUUAUAUUGCUUUAACCACACUGAAAAGAUGGGCUUGAGAAUGUGAUGUGGUUCUUCUUGAUUUAAUCCAAAGAAAGAGUUCUUGAGCUAUAUGUAUUGCUUGAUGACACUUUGAUCUAAAAUACUUGAAGGGGAUUUGUUUCCCUUUGUGUUUUAGAUCAAGGAAGAGAUCAGUGUAGAGCUCUUGUUCGAUAUUUUUCUUAGUUUAAAUCUUGAAGAACAUUAUCAUUUUCUCAAGCACUCAUAUGUGGAAUCAUUGUGCCCUUUGUCUGAGAAGCAGCUAUGAAUUCUGUUUUUGUCUUCGAUAUUGUUAAACGUAGCUGAUUUGUAAGAUUACUUUGU